UACAGGAGGGGGCAAGCGUUGUUCGGAAUUACUGGGGCGUAAAGGGCGCGUAGGCGGCCUGCUAAGUCGAACGUGAAAUCCCUGGGCUCAACCCAGGAACUGCGUCCGAUACUGGUUGGCUUGAAUCCGGGAGAGGGAUGUGGAAUUCCAGGUGUAGCGGUGAAAUGCGUAGAUAUCUGGAGGAACACCGGUGGCGAAGGCGACAUCCUGGACCGGUAUUGACGCUGAGGCGCGAAAGCCAGGGGAGCAAACGGG
rnacentral:rRNA from 1 species